UACGUAGGCAGCGAGCGUUGUUCGGAGUUACUGGGCGUAAAGGGUGUGUAGGCGGUUGUUUAAGUUUGGUGUGAAAUCUCCCGGCUCAACUGGGAGGGUGCGCCGAAUACUGAGCGACUAGAGUGCGGGAGAGGAAAGUGGAAUUCCUGGUGUAGCGGUGAAAUGCGUAGAUAUCAGGAGGAACACCGGUGGUGUAGACGGCUCUCUGGACCGUAACUGACGCUGAGGCACGAAAGCGUGGGUAGCAAACAGG
rnacentral:rRNA from 1 species